GACGAACGCUGGCGGCGUGCUUAACACAUGCAAGUCGAACGGAAAGGCCCUGCUUUUGUGGGGUGCUCGAGUGGCGAACGGGUGAGUAACACGGGAGUAACCUGCCCUUGACUUUGGGAUAACUUCAGGAAACUGGGGCUAAUACCGGAUAGGAGCUCCUGCUGCAUGGUGGGGGUUGGAAAGUUUCGGCGGUUGGGGAUGGACUCGGGGCUUAUCAGCUUGUGGGUGGGGUAGUGGCUUACCAAGGCUUUGACGGGUAGCCGGCCUGAGAGGGUGACCGGCCACAUUGGGACUGAGAUACGGCCCAGACUCCUACAGGAGGCAGCAGUGGGGAAUAUUGCACAAUGGGCGGAAGCCUGAUGCAGCAACGCCGCGUGCGGGAUGACGGCCUUCGGGUUGUAAACCGCUUUCGCCUGUGACGAAGCGUGAGUGACGGUAAUGGGUAAAGAAGCACCGGCUAACUACGUG
rnacentral:rRNA from 1 species